rnacentral:pre_miRNA from 1 species
AGUAGAAUUGCUGGGUCACAUGGUAACUCUGUAUUUAACAUUUUGAGGAACUGCCAAACUGUUUUCCAAAGUGACUGUCCCAUUUUACAUUUUCACCAGCAAU